AAUAUUGGACAAUGGGCGAAAGCCUGAUCCAGCAAUGCCGCGUGAGUGAAGAAGGCCUUAGGGUGUAAGGCUCCUUCGCCCGCGACGAUGAUGACGGUAGCGGGAGAAGAAGCCCCGGCUAAUUCCGUGCCAGCAGCCGCGGUAAUACGGAAGGGGCUAGCGUUGUUCGGAAUCACUGGGCGUAAAGCGCGCGUAGGCGGCCGGUCAAGUGCGGCGUGAAAGUCCUGGGCUCAACCCGGGGACGGCGCUGCGGACUGUCCGGCUGGAGUCCGGAAGAGGGUGGUGGAAUUCCGAGUGUAGAGGUGAAAUUCGUAGAUAUUCGGAGGAACACCGGUGGCGAAGGCGGCCACCUGGUCCGGUACUGACGCUCAAGCGCGAAAGCGUGGGGAGCAAACAGGAUUAGAUACCCUGGUAGUCCACGCCGUAAACGAUGGGUGCUAGAUGUCGGGGGGCUUGCCCUUCGGUGUCGUAGCUAACGCGUUAAGCACCCCGCCUGGGGAGUACGGCCGCAAGGUUA
rnacentral:rRNA from 1 species